rnacentral:rRNA from 1 species
UACGAAGGGGGCUAGCGUUGUUCGGAAUUACUGGGCGUAAAGGGCGCGCAGGCGGCUCUGAAAGUCAGAUGUGAAAGCCCCGGGCUUAACCUGGGAAUUGCAUUUGAUACUCUGGAGCUUGAGUACGGGAGAGGAGAGUGGAAUUCCCAGUGUAGAGGUGAAAUUCGUAGAUAUUGGGAAGAACACCGGUGGCGAAGGCGGCUCACUGGCUCGUAACUGACGCUCAUGCACGACAGCGUGGGGAUCAAACAGG